CCUACGGGUGGCAGCAGUGGGGAAUAUUGGACAAUGGGGGGAACUCUGAUCCAGCGACGCCGCGUGAGUGAAGAAGUAUUUCGGUGUGUAAAGCUCUAUCAGCAGGGAAGUAAGAAAUGACGGUACCUGACUAAGAAGCCCCGGCUAACUACGUGCCAGCAGCCGCGGUAAUACGUAGGGUGCGAGCGUUAUCCGGAUUUACUGGGUGUAAAGGGAGCGUAGACGGCGAUGCAAGUCUGAAGUGAAAGGCGGGGGCUCAACCCCCGGAUUGCUUUGGAAACUGUAUGGCUGGAGUGCAGGGGAGGUAAGUGGAAUUCGUGGUGUAGCGGUGAAAUGCUUAGAUAUUAGGAUGAACACCAGUGGCGAAGGCGGCUUACUGGACUGUAACUGACGUUGAGGCUCGAAAGCGUGGGGAGCAAACAGGAUUAGAUACCCGUGUAGUC
rnacentral:rRNA from 1 species